GUGAACGCUGGCGGUAGGCCUAACACAUGCAAGUCGAACGGCAGCACAGUAAGAGCUUGCUCUUACGGGUGGCGAGUGGCGGACGGGUGAGGAAUACAUCGGAAUCUACUUUUUCGUGGGGGAUAACGUAGGGAAACUUACGCUAAUACCGCAUACGACCUACGGGUGAAAGCAGGGGAUCUUCGGACCUUGCGCGAUUGAAUGAGCCGAUGUCGGAUUAGCUAGUUGGCGGGGUAAAGGCCCACCAAGGCGACGAUCCGUAGCUGGUCUGAGAGGAUGAUCAGCCACACUGGAACUGAGACACGGUCGAGACUCCUACGGGAGGCAGCAGUGGGGAAUAUUGGACAAUGGGCGCAAGCCUGAUCCAGCCAUACCGCGUGGGUGAAGAAGGCCUUCGGGUUGUAAAGCCCUUUUGUUGGGAAAGAAAAGCAGCAGGUUAAUACCCCGCUGUUCUGACGGUACCCAAAGAAUAAGCACCGGCUAACUUCGUG
rnacentral:rRNA from 1 species